rnacentral:misc_RNA from 1 species
AACACCUCACCUCACUUGAGGUACCAGAGAUUUCAAAGUGUCCAAAGCUCCGUUCCUUGCCAAAGGAAGGGCUCCCUCCAACCCUUCCUUUCCUAGAAAUUCUGGACUGUCCUAUUCUCAAAAGACAGCUGCUGAAGAAAGGAAAAUAUGCAUCUAUUAUAGCCAAUGUACCUUGCGUGGAGAUUGAUGAAGUGUUGCUGCAAUAAAAAAUAAGCAUGACAAGUUCUCAGUACUCUAAAAGCGAAGAGCAACCCAAGCUUGAUCAAAGAGUCUCUACUCUCUACCCACCUGCAGCAGAAAUAAACGGAUAAUUGAUAGAGCUAAAAGUUGAGACUUGAAGGGAGAUAGACUCAGAAUUAUCAAUUUUGAAUUAUCAAUUUGCUUUGAAGGGAUCCCUGUUUAAAAGAGGCUAUAAAUGGUUAUACCAUAGCUGGGACAAAUUUUGAAGAGCUUAGGUAUAAUUGGAACAGAAUUCUAUUUGUGUUGGUUUAGUCGUGGUAACAAUUCAUACACCAAAUUGGCAUUUCCUUUAUCAAGUGCUGUAAUAGUAUCAUGAUUAUAAUAUUUUGCAUCUUAUAAUAAAGUUUUACUUUUCACUUUUCAGUAAAAA